rnacentral:rRNA from 1 species
GCUCAGGAUGAACGCUGGCGGCGUGCCUAACACAUGCAAGUCGAGCGAUCUUCUUCGGAAGAGAGCGGCGGACGGGUGAGUAACGCGUGGGUAACCUGCCCUGUACACACGGAUAACAUACCGAAAGGUAUGCUAAUACGAGAUAAUAUACUUUUAUCGCAUGGUAGAAGUAUCAAAGCUCCGGCGGUACAGGAUGGACCCGCGUCUGAUUAGCUAGUUGGUGAGGUAACGGCUCACCAAGGCGACGAUCAGUAGCCGACCUGAGAGGGUGAUCGGCCACAUUGGAACUGAGACACGGUCCAAACUCCUACGGGAGGCAGCAGUA